UACCAGCACCCCGAGUGGUCGGGACGAUUAUUGGGCCUAAGGCAUCCGUAGCCGGUUCUACAAGUCUUCCGUUAAAUCCACCUGCUCAACAGUUGGGCUGCGGAGGAUACUAUAGAGCUAGGAGGCGGGAGAGGCAAGCGGUACUUAGUGGGUAGGGGUAAAAUCCGUUGAUCCAUUGAAGACCACCAGUGGCGAAGGCGGCUUGCCAGAAUGCGCUCGACGGUGAGGGAUGAAAGCUGGGGGAGCAAACCGG
rnacentral:rRNA from 1 species